ACUAAGCGUACACGGUGGAUGCCUAGGCAAUCAGAGGCGAUGAAGGACGUGCUAAUCUGCGAUAAGCGUCGGUAAGGUGAUAUGAACCGUUACAACCGACGAUUUCCGAAUGGGGAAACCCAGUGCAAUUCGUUGCACUAUCGUUUGAUGAAUACAUAGUCAAACGAAGCGAACCGGGGGAACUGAAACAUCUCAGUACCCCGAGGAAAAGAAAUCAACCGAGAUUCCCCUAGUAGCGGCGAGCGAACGGGGAACAGCCCAGAGUCUUAAUCAGCAUUAGCAUCAGGAGAACGGUCUGGAAAGGCCGGCAGUAAAGGGUGAUAGCCCCGUAUCCGAAGGUGUUAGUGUUGUGAACUCGACGAGUAGGGCGGGACACGUGUUAUCCUGUCUGAAUAUGGGGGGACCAUCCUCCAAGGCUAAAUACUCCUGAUUGACCGAUAGUGAACCAGUACCGUGAGGGAAAGGCGAAAAGAACCCCGGCGAGGGGAGUGAAAUAGAACCUGAAACCGUGUACGUACAAGCAGUGGGAGCCUUGAUUUAUCAGGGUGACUGCGUACCUUUUGUAUAAUGGGUCAGCGACUUAUAUUCUGU
rnacentral:rRNA from 1 species